UUGAUCCACUAAGCACAACAGCCGGAUCGCUGGCUUUGGGACAGCGUGUUCCCUGAGAUUCCCAGGGCUCUGGUUAGCGUCCAGUCACACAAUCAGCGAUGUGGGCUCUGGGAAACGCUCCCAGCCUCUGUACUUCCUGCAACAUCCCCUCCGUCAGAGAGCCUGUCCGUGUCCUCUGGGCAAAUAUUUAAUCUAAAGUGCUCCCGGCCAGCCAGGAACUUUUGGGGGACUAAGUGCUGGGGAGUGAGGAGCUAGUCUUGGCUGGCAGCAGUUAGCACGGUGCCCUCCUAGCCUUCACCUGCGUCAGCGCAGCGAGCAGAGUCCAGGCAGGCCAAUCCGGUAAACACACUGGGCAGACAGUGAUGGAUUUCUGAGAACUUGGCCUCCCCAGGGACUGGCUCGCCGUGUGCGGAAGGCAGGGAACAUUCAGAGAAUAGCAUCCCAUUUAUGGCUGUCACUGACCCCUCCAUACCUCUGUUUUCCCAGCUCAUGGGGCCUGAUUCUGUUUUCGUCUGCUCUGGCAUAAAUCCAGAGGGACCUGCACCGUCACAGAUGGUGUGAAGAUGGUGGCAGCAUGAGAGACAAGGCCCAUGGACAUGAAGGCAGGUAUUUUCCGCACCUUCCGUUUGCCGUUGUCUGGGCAGCUACUCUGGCCCACUCUCAUCUCCUGGGCAUUGGCCCUUACGUGGGAACCAAUUCCUGGACUGUCCACCUGGAUAAUCUCUGCAGACCCACUGUCAGCUGGCAAAGCGCCGGGAGGAAGUGGCGUCUCUACCAGCCAGUCGGGAGUCUGCAAAGUAAACUGCUUUCCAUACGGCUUUCCGUCUGUUCUUCUAUUAAAAGAGGAACCAUCCUAAUACAUUGAGGUUUCUGGGGAGCCCUCCGAUAGGGCAUAGACUGGGGAUAGACUCUUGCCACUGAAAUGCAACCACCUCUGGGAUGGGAUGUAAGAGCAAGCAGCAUGACACCGUCCUGAGCCUAGAGCUGGGGGAGACCCAGUGCUUUGCUGUCAAUGGACUGGGUCCACAGAGCAUUCCCAGCACGCGGCGUGUGCGUGGAACGGUAGCAAAGGUAUUGCACAGCUAGGGAACACCUGGAGAACUCCUGCCGCUGGAACCCUGGCAGUGCUGCUCCCAGAGUCCUUCCACGUGCCCCUUGCCCUGUGUACGACUGGGAUUCUUACAAAUCACAAUCAACGAUUGAACAAAUAUUCCUCAGGGAACAACAGGCAACCCAAGGGCGGGGGAGCUGAGCCUCCCACAGGCUGCCCCACAGCGCUCUAGCCCUGCGCCGGAGAGCUCAGAAGCAGCGGGGUUGUCACCUGCUGGGAAAGGGGUGAAAGCAGGAGAGCAGAGGUGGCAUCCUCACGCUGGGAGCUAAGCCAGCCCCACUUCUCGGUCAGCCGUGAGUCUCCUCCCCCUCCUCCUCGGCUGCUGGGUUCUCCCGCGCCUGGACACCACGCCAGCAGUGCCAUGCACAAUGGCCGCUUCCGCUUCUGUUAGUGAUGUCACGACUGGUUAGUGUGGUGACAGCUGUGAUGUCACAAGCAAAUAGGGCCUGGAAGAAGCAGCCAGAGCAAGGGAAUUUCGAAGGUGGGCUGAUGACCUGUUCUCAGGCCAACCCCCUCCCUGACCCCAGAACCCCGGAGAGUGGGGCAGAGGAACACGGAGAGUUCCCUUCAUUAAAGGGAAGGCACUACUCUUCCUUGGGCCUGUGCUGCUCUCAGACCCUCUCCCCAUCCUGCACCAAGGGCCCCCUCCCCCCAGCCCUGCGGUUGCUGGCAAGAAAAGCCGUCAUCACAACAACCCGCAAUAGCUGGCGCUUAGCUCCCCCGCUCCUGAGCGCAGGGGCCUGUUCCUUUGUGCAGUGCCCAGCACAACUCACAGCUGUACGCUCCAGCCCCAAUGCCGCAGCACGUCCCGCCCCAAGCCCAGCUGCCUGGCCCUCAGCCUCUGACCCCUCGUGCCAGGACUGUUUGUGCUAGAGAGACAAUGAAGCAGCCCACAAGUGUCCUAAGGGAGUGAAACUUUCUCAUCACAGACAGAGGGGAUCUGAGAACCAACCUAGCAUUUAUUUCCUGUCACUGCGCUGAAUGCUGCAAAGAGAAUCUUGCAACCCCCGCACAGCAGGCCAGGCCAGGCCAGGUCUUUCCUCCACCUCCCCGCCUUCCAGUGUGUUGCAAUGCCCUUGUAAUGACAAUCAGCGUCUCUGAGCCCCCAUCUCCCACAACCAGCCAGCACUGCAGCACCCCUGACAGGCUCCAGAGUCAGAACUGAUGGCCAGGGCCUGGGGAGGGGAUGUGUGUGUGGAGGGAGGAGAAAUGAAGGCCAACUUACAGGAGCACGUCUUCCCACUGCCCCCCAGAUCAUCAUGUCCUAUUCCUAGCAAACAGGCAGCGCAAUCCCCAUGUGUUAGGAGUUGGAGUCAGGGAGUAAAGUUUAGGCCCGAAGCAGAACUUUCCCAGAGUGUUUGGAACUGGGGUUCUGGUUCCAGCCCGUCUCUAGGAAAUGGAUCACACACAAGUCUGGGUUUGAAAAGCACUUGAGUGCUAGUGUAUUAGGCAGGGAAUGCCAUUUCGAGCACCAGCUCCCUUGACCCGACAGAGACUGCAAAUCCCCCAGACCCCUCAGCAAAUGCCUCCUGACCAGCUAGCAGACAGAUGCAAAACCAACCCCAAAAGCCUGGAGAAAGGGUUACCAACCUUGUAUUUCAAAAACAAGGGACUGUUUUCUUAGCACCCCUGCCCUUUCUCUCCUCUGAGAUUAUUGUUAGAAUUAAUUAUUAACAGGACUCACCUCCAUUCACUAUCACCAGGGGGGUUUCUUGCUGCUUUUUGCAGCACUCAGCAACUCCCAGUCUUGUUGUACCAAGAUGAAAAAAUAAGGGACUGUUAUCAGCCCUUAUUGCAUGGAUCCACCUAGCAAAGGUCUGCUGCCACCCAAGGCCGC